GUCCCGUUCGUCUAGUGGUUUAGGACACCGCCCUUUCACGGCGGCAACACCGGUUCGAAUCCGGUACGGGGUGCCA
rnacentral:tRNA from 1 species